UACGGAGGAUGCAAGCGUUAUCCGGAAUGAUUGGGCGUAAAGCGUCCGCAGGUGGCAAUGUAAGUCUGCUGUCAAAGCGUCUGGCUCAACCAGAUAAAGGCAGUGGAAACUACAUAGCUAGAGUAUGGUAGGGGCAGAGGGAAUUCCUGGUGUAGCGGUGAAAUGCGUAGAGAUCAGGAAGAACAUCGGUGGCGAAGGCGCUCUGCUGGACCAUAACUGACACUCAGGGACGAAAGCUAGGGGAGCGAAUGGG
rnacentral:rRNA from 1 species